rnacentral:rRNA from 1 species
CGCGUAGACGGUUUUGUAAGUCAGAUGUGAAAUCCCUGGGCCCAACCUGGGAACUGCAUUUGAUACUGCAUGGCUAGAGUAUGGAAGAGGGAAGUGGAAUUUCCGGUGUAGCGGUGAAAUGCGUAGAUAUCGGAAGGAACACCAGUGGCGAAAGCGACUUCCUGGUCCAAUACUGACGUUCAUGUGCGAAAGCGUGGGGAGCAAACAGGAUUAGAUACCCUGGUAGUCCACGCCAUAAACGAUGACAACUAGAUGUUGGGAGGGUCUGCCUCUCGGUGUCGCAGCUAACGCGUUAAGUUGUCCGCCUGGGGAGUACGGCCGCAAGGUUGAA